rnacentral:rRNA from 1 species
GAUGAACGCUGGCGGCGUGCUUAACACAUGCAAGUCGAACGGGAAACCUUUUAUUGAAGCUUCGGCAGAUUUCGCUGGUUUCUAGUGGCGGACGGGUGAGUAACGCGUGGGUAACCUGCCUUAUACAGGGGGAUAACAACCAGAAAUGGUUGCUAAUACCGCAUAAGCGCACAGGACCGCAUGGUCCGGUGUGAAAAACUCCGGUGGUAUAAGAUGGACCCGCGUUGGAUUAGCUAGUUGGCAGGGUAACGGCCUACCAAGGCGACGAUCCAUAGCCGGCCUGAGAGGGUGAACGGCCACAUUGGGACUGAGACACGGCCGAGACUCCUACGGGAGGCAGCAGUGGGGAAUAUUGCACAAUGGGGGAAACCCUGAUGCAGCGACGCCGCGUGAAGGAAGAAGUAUCUCGGUAUGUAAACUUCUAUCAGCAGGGAAGAUAGUGACGGUACCUGACUAAGAAGCCCCGGCUAACUACGUG